rnacentral:lncRNA from 1 species
GUGAUGCCAUCAGGUGUGGUAUGUGAUCACAGGCAACUCAGGAACAGCUCUCCAGCCCCAGGACUUCUGCUGGAACCGCUGGGAGUUGGAAGCUUUCUUCCCACUGAGGGGCAAACCUUCUAGGUAUCUGAAGAUGUUGAAGACCAUUUCCUGGAACAGCAGAGGUAAAUGCCCAGAGGAUGAGAACACAUAGCCAUUAGGAGAGCCUGAAAGUUCAGUGUGACUGAAAGAUGAAGUUCAAGAGAAGGGACAAACUGCAAAACACAAGCUGGAGAGUUUUAGAGAGACUGUGGAAUGGAAUGACUCUCCAGAGCUGCAGAUUGAAGGCAUAUUUUCAUCUGACUUUGGUGAUUAUGUUUCCAAUCUCUCUGGGAAUAAGAUCUCAAUGGCGGGAACACCUUCAUGGCCCCUUUAUAGCUGGAUGAUCAUUUCCUGUUCUCUCCACCAUGGCCACCUGGUCCAAGCCACCAUCUUCAUGCACCUGGAUACCUGCCAUAACCUCAGCUGACCUUUCCUGUGUCCAUUCUUGUUCCUUUGGGCCCAGUCUCCUCGCUCAUAGCAGCAGAAUGAGUCUAUUAAAAAGUGAAACAAUUUC